rnacentral:rRNA from 1 species
CCCUUAGAUGUUCUGGGCCGCACGCGCGCUACACUGACGAUGGCAACGAGUUUUUCCUUCGCCGAAAGGUGUGGGUAAUCUUUUGAAACAUCGUCGUGCUGGGGAUAGAUCAUUGCAAUUUUUGAUCUUGAACGAGGAAUUCCUAGUAAGCGCGAGUCAUCAGCUCGCGUUGAUUACGUCCCUGCCCUUUGUACACACCGCCCGUCGCUACUACCGAUUUAAUGGUUUAGUGAGGACUCCUGAUUGGCGCCGCCGCCCCGGCAACGGAGCAGCGGACUGCCGAAAAGUUGUUCAAACUUGAUCAUUUAGAGGAAGUAAAAGUCGUAACA